GUUGCAUUAGUGGUUAAUGUGGCUCAAUAUCAUUAAUGAGGAGGUUAUUUGCAAUAAGUGUCCUGCACGUGCAACUAAUGAGUCAAGGACAUUAUUCUGGGAGCAGCCCCCUAACAUUUACACUACCAGGUGAAUUAACAUUUUGUAACGAUUGUUAUUUGAUAAGAAUGUGGCUCUUCCAACAUUCCAAGGCAAGUAUGUGUCACACCCUAUAAUUAGUAAC